rnacentral:lncRNA from 1 species
UAACAAAAUCUAUCUAAAGGUAAUCCUAGUCUAUUGUGAUUGAAAUCAUUCCAAAUAUAUAAAGGUAAACCUAUUUUUACCUAGUCUGUUUUAAUUGAAAUGAUUCCAAAUCUAUAUAAAGGUAAACCUAAUCAGCAGCUGCUUAUUCAUUGAUGUCUUUUAACAGACCUAAUGUUCAAACCACUUUCAAGAGUAGAAGUACAAACUUUGUAUCAAGCCACUGUGACAAUUUUCCUGCUAUUAGUGUCACCUGCCAUAAUGAAUUCCUUAUUCAUUUGU